GGUGAUGUAGCUUAGUGGUAGAGCACUUGGCCAGUGUUUGCCAGGCCCUGGGUUUCAUCCCCAGCACUACUA
rnacentral:tRNA from 1 species